AUCAACUUUCGAUGGUAGGAUAGAGGCCUACCAUGGUGGUAACGGGUAACGGGGUGUUAGGGCACGACACCGGAGAGGGAGCCUGAGAAACGGCUACCACAUCCAAGGAUGGCAGCAGGCGCGCAAAUUACCCAAUCCCGACACGGGGAGGUAGUGACAAUAAAUAACAAUACGGGGUUCUUUAGGAUCUCGUAAUUGGAAUGAGUACAAUUUAAAUCUCUUAACGAGGAACAAUUGGAGGGCAAGUCUGGUGCCAGCAGCCGCGGUAAUUCCAGCUCCAAUAGCGUAUAUUAAAGUUGUUGCAGUUAAAAAGCUCGUAGUUGAAUUUCGGGGUUAGUAGGUUGGUCAUGCCUCUGGUAUGUACUGGUCUCACUGAUUCCUCCUUCCUUAUGAACCGUAAUGCCAUUAAUUUGGUGUUGCGGGAAAUUUGGACUGUUACUUUGAAAAAAUUAGAGUGUUUAAAGCAAGCUAACGCUUGAAUACAUUAGCAUGGAAUAAUGAAAUAGGACGUUCGAUCUUAUUUUGUUGGUUUCUAGGAUUGACGUAAUGAUUAAUAGGGAUAGUUGGGGGCAUUAGUAUUCAAUUGUCAGAGGUGAAAUUCUUGGAUUUAUUGAAGACUAACUACUGCGAAAGCAUUUGCCAAGGAUGUUUUCAUUAAUCAAGAACGAAAGUUAGGGGAUCGAAGACGAUCAGAUACCGUCGUAGUCUUAACCAUAAACUAUGCCGACUAGGGAUCGGAUGAUGUUAAUUUUUUAAUGACUCAUUCGGCGCCUUACGGGAAACCAAAGUGUUUGGGUUC
rnacentral:rRNA from 1 species